UACGUAGGGCGCAAGCGUUGUCCGGAAUUAUUGGGCGUAAAGAGCUCGUAGGCGGCUCGUCACGUCGGGUGUGAAAGCCCGGGGCUUAACCCCGGGUCUGCAUUCGAUACGGGCUAGCUAGAGUGUGGUAGGGGAGAUCGGAAUUCCUGGUGUAGCGGUGAAAUGCGCAGAUAUCAGGAGGAACACCGGUGGCGAAGGCGGCAUCCUGGACCGACACUGACACUGAGGAGCGAAAGCGUGGGGAGCGAACAGG
rnacentral:rRNA from 1 species